rnacentral:rRNA from 1 species
AUUGAACGCUGGCGGCAGGCUUAACACAUGCAAGUCGAACGAGUGGCGGACGGGUGAGUAAUGCUUGGGAAUCUGGCUUAUGGAGGGGGAUAACGACGGGAAACUGUCGCUAAUACCGCGUACCAUCGGAUGAGCCCAGGUGGGAUUCGGUAGUUGGUGGGGUAAUGGCCUACCAAGCCGACGAUCCCUAGCUGGUCUGAGAGGAUGACCAGCCACACCGGAACUGAGACACGGCCCAGACUCCGACGGGAGGCAGCAGGGGGGAAUAUUGCGCAAUGGGGGCAACCUGACGCAGCCAUGCCGCGUGAAUGAAGAAGGCCUUCGGGUUGUAAAGUACUUUCGGUGAGGAGGCGUUAAUCGCAGAAGAAGCACCGGCUAACUCCGUGCCAGCAGCCGCGGUAAUUC